UUUACCCUUCUCCAACCAGCAUCCCACUUCUAGGAACACCGGGGCUGGAAGGUAUGAAAUAGCCAAACUGGUGACUAUGAUCAAACUGGACCAUUUUUCCUAAUCAGCACUUUUUAGCAAGUUUUGCAUUUCAGUUUUCUACUCAUUAUAAUUUGUAUUUAAAGUACAACUCUUUGAAGGUGAUACACAUCAGAUAUCGAAUUACUAUUUAAGUAUUGUCUUGGAUACAUAAGAAUACAAGCAUUUAAAACUGUGGGAAAUAAUGAAUUUAUAUGAAUGGUAACCAAAAGAUAAUAAAGGCCAGAGAGUAUAAUACAUGGCUAGCACAGACAAAGUCUGUUUAAAAGAACACUAUACCAUUAGGAAUAUAAAUCUGUAUUCCUAACAGCAGUAUGUGUCCCUUCCCCAGGUGCACUACAUUUUUUAUUUACUAUCCUUCCGCGCUGCAUACCUGUCCAUCUCCUAAAAUGAGCACUGGGGGCAUGCAAUGCAUGUAUUAAAAACUCCCCGUAGUAAAGCUUACCUAUCAAUGCUUCCCUAUGGGUCUUCUGCCUCACAUGACUGAGUUUUACUUCGUCAAUUCAGCAAAACCGUCUCUAGUGACUGUCAUACUGACAGCCACUAUAGGGGAACUUACCCCAGCAUACUAAACAUUGAAGGGUUAAAAAGACAGGGACACUGCAUCUCGUGACUAUAGUAUCCCUUUAAUCCAUCUUGUAAUGAAGCUAUUGUAUUUUCACCGACGACUUCAGGACCAUCAGUCCAUAUUAUGAAUGGAGCAUUUAAUGUAUUCUGUGAGCAUCUACACAAUGACGCCCAUGGAUUGUAUUUUGGUUCUUAUUAUGAAUGUUCACAAUUCUCAGUAGAGGUGGUAACUUGAAAGAUGCCAUGGCAGGCAAGGCACAUUCUUAUAGGACUGAGUAUGAAAGCCUUCAUUCUAAAACUAGUACAGUUGAUUUGACACGAACAACUUUGCAUAGACCAACACAAGUUCAAAAGUCUAGUCUUAUAUCAUAGCAUCUGUUUUUGCACUGGAGUCUUAAAAUAAUUUCUAGAGCGGUCACACCAUUGCCUUAAAUCGGGAGGCCAUCAUGCCCAACUGCACACCUCCACAAAAUAGCAGUUUAGUAUUUAUGAUUAAAGACUGUGCUGGAAAACACCACAAAAGGUUAAGAUUUACUCUGUUUCUAAAAAGCAGCAUUAGGAACCAUUUCCGUACGGUUAUCUUCAGAACGAUUGUUCCAAUUAAUGUCCAAUUCUAAGCCUAAAAAGGUGUAUGUCAUAUGCAGAUGAUGCCACUUCUGUAAUCACUUAUUUUCACAGAAGGGAAAUAAACACCACCAGAGCUUGACUGUUUAAAAUGUAUUAAGAAUUUGCUAUUGUGAAGUGAGGAUUAUUUCAAAAUGGUUUAAUUGGAAUCCAUUAUUUUUUUUCCUACCUUCAAUCUUGGCAUGCAUAGGAGUAAUUAUUAUAAGUUUUGAACAGGGCCAAACAACUUUACUCGCCACUGCAGUCUUGACAGAUUCAUGGCAUACUCACCA